rnacentral:rRNA from 1 species
AACGAACGCUGGAGGCAUGCCUAACACAUGCAAGUCGAACGAGAUCUUCGGGUCUAGUGGCGCACGGGUGCGUAACGCGUGGGAAUCUGCCCUUUGGUUCGGAAUAACAGUUGGAAACGACUGCUAAUACCGGAUGAUGACGAAAGUCCAAAGAUUUAUCGCCAGAGGAUGAGCCCGCGUAGGAUUAGCUAGUUGGUGUGGUAAAGGCGCACCAAGGCGACGAUCCUUAGCUGGUCUGAGAGGAUGAUCAGCCACACUGGGACUGAGACACGGCCCAGACUCCUACGGGAGGCAGCAGUGGGGAAUAUUGGACAAUGGGCGAAAGCCUGAUCCAGCAAUGCCGCGUGAGUGAUGAAGGCCUUAGGGUUGUAAAACUCUUUUACCCGUGAUGAUAAUGACAGUACCGGGAGAAUAAGCUCCGGCUAACUCCGUGCCAGCCGCCGCGGUAA